GCAUCAGCAGGGCCAGGAAGAGGAUCAUUAACAGGAAGGUGGAACACUCACAGGAACAGAAUCUUGGACUUCCCAGGAAGGCAUUAUUAGCCUCCUUUCCUGCAGACAUUGUGGUGCAUCUUGGGAAGAGAAACUCAAAUUAGCUACCAAAAGUGAAUCUGGAGGCUUCCUGUUAACGAGCCUUUGCACAAAGGAAUCUGACUGUCACAACAUGGCGCAGAACACUGAGUACAUCACGCCCGGCUCUGUCCUCCAAUGCUGGUUGGUGUCACAAGGAAGUCCCAACAGUUAUUGGAAAUGACUUGGUGAGGAGAAUCUUUCUGUAGACUCUGCUGUUUUUUCCAUGCACCCUUUAUGGCCUUUGGUUGAGUGGGGCCUGAGCUUAACCCACAGACCCAUUAGGGGCAGUCGUAAAGCAAAUUACAAUAACUAUGUCAACCAUGAAACAGACGAAAACACCCCCAAAUGAUGCCCCUUUCCCUUCCUCACUCAGGAAGGCUCAGUGAGCAAGCCCCGGGAACAAGAACCUACUGAGAGAAGAUGAAGGACUGACUAGGAGCCACUCUGACAGGCCUGGGAAGGGAAGGAAGGAGAUACAAUAGCCACUGAGCAAACCAACCAAUCUUCUCCGAAAAUAUCAACUCCAAGUUUAACUUGGAUUUGUCAGUCAGUUUCCUUGUCAGUUCCUUCUUCCCUUUUUUUUAGUAACACAUUGGAAGAGAAUGAAAGUAGGGUCUCUACUUUUCAAAGCAAAGUAAACCAAGCACCAAAAAAGAUGUUAUUUAGGAUAUGUCUAUUACAAACUUGGCUCUACCAAACCGAUCCAGUCUUUUCAAGAUCCUGAUUUAAAAUCUCUUAGGUCCUUCUCCUGAUAUGGUAGCUGACAUUAACCUCCAAGACUUGGCUAGGGAUAUCAAAGGUCAUUUCUUUUGCAGGGAUCGGCAUGUAUCUGGGUGUUUAUUUCUCUGCUAACUAGAGGUUCCUUUGCAGAUAUUGGACUGCUGUCUCUGAUGAUGUUCCAGUGCCCCCUGAGGGCUUCUAAGUAUAAUAAAAGUAAACGAAAAAGCGGCUUCAUAUGAAAUAAUUCACUAUGCAGGAACAAAGCUGACUAUGGGACUCAAAGGAUCUCUGAAGUAAAGAUUAACUGCCAGUCAUCAGGAAACCUAAAAUCAUUUGAAAUAAGAGGUGCCACAAGCCAAAAGAUAGAAGCCAUAAACACAUACAAUAUUAAUAAAGCAAUUACAGAAAUAUUAUACUGAGGGGAAACUAUAUCUCAUGAUGGAAGAAAUAUAGGAAUCACCCCCGUUGAAUCCGUGAGGGAGAUGAAGCUGCAGUUCUGUGCUCCCAGACCCGCCCAGCAGAUGGCACCUUCCCCAUGGAGACCUAAGUUUUCACACUAUCUGGCUGAAAUCCUCCUUCAACUUCUUAUCGGGCUGCAGACCGUCUCUUCCCGAAGAGCCCACCAGAUCAUCAAAUUCAGCAUGUUCCAGAUGGAACGGAGGAUCUGCUGCCAGGGUAUUUGCCUUGUGGCCAGGAUUGGUGUCAUACGUUGGAUAUCUCCGAAAUAACCAAUACAUGGCUUCU